ACUCAGUUGGGGCAAUCAAUUGGAGAGCCUACACCUGGCCUUCCAGGUGGCUUGAGAGUCCACAGAGCAUGGCAGCCGGGAUCUGAGGAGUAUCUCAAGAGUAAACAUUGCAAGGUAGCCAGAUGAGACCUGCGGGGCUUCUCAAGACUGAGUCCUGAAGCCCCAAGAUGUCCUUUCCACUCUUCAGUCACAAGUCCAGCCUUGAUUCAGAGAAGGGGGAAUUAGGCUAUGCCUCUUUAAGUGAGUUGCAGCAUUCACAUAUAGGGAGAGAAGGAAACAGUGGCAGCUGCCCUCUUUGGAGAUAAUUUAGCUUAGUCUCUCAUUGAGUAACAGGUCAUAAGUAACCAAGCAAGAACAAGAAGAUCUUAAGCUCCUGCCUCCCACAGGCCUUUGGGAGGUGUGUGGGGUGCCCAAAUGUGUAAGACAUGGCUUCUUGACAAUUAGGAUUCCUGUGGGUUGAAGAGGUGAAAUGAUACAGGCAAAACUUACGGUGCUAUUGAGAGGGGGUAUCUCUUUCUCAGAGUCUCAAAGCCACUCCACAGGGGCAAAGCUGGUCACCAGGGUCCAAUGGCCACACCAUCCAUGAUGGGCCACAUCAGGGGAAGGAAUCCCAAAGAGGACACAGCUCCAGGCUUCCAGAAGAAAGAGGAAUGAAGGCAUCACCUGACUGAGGUUGAUGUGAGGGCUGGAGCUGCAGUGCUGACCUUGCAACCAUGGAGAGAUCUUGAUGAUGGGCGGUGAAGCAAGAAGGCAAGGAGCCAGAACAUUGUUGACAUUGUGGUACCUUCAUCUGCAGCGUGGGGGACAGUUCCAGGACAUGUGACCAGUCCCACUGCAAAAACCUCAGGAUUUUCUUCAGCACCACAGAAGCUUGCUCAGCCUUUGUACAGGAGUCUGGACAAUCUGGGGCUCUAGCGUGUCAAGGACAAUCCUCAACCAUCUUUCCUUUUCUGGGAUGCUCUGGAACUCUAGGAGGACAAAGCAGCACUUCACAUCCUCCAUCAGGGGAAGGCAGUGUCCUCCAACGAAGAGUGACUCACCCUGGGACUUGGCUGGCCAGUCCCAGCCCGGUCCAGAAGGAGGCAUGCCAGUGUGGCAAUGAUGCAUCACCCGCUUGGUUUACUGGCCUUGACUAACCUGACCAUGACUGAGCAAGGCUGUGAGGUUUCCCAAUCUGGGCCAACAUGGGUGUAUGGGCAGAAUACAGCGGAGGGGAGGGGCAAGGCCUGAGCAGAAUGCCAAAGCUGGGAACUUUGUGGGUUUCUUGCACAUCAUAGCAGCCCCCCUCCUUGCUCGGAUCGGCCCCUGCUUCUCCCAGGGACAGGGGUCUCUGAUGCAGCCCAACUCCCCAUCAUGGCAUUGCUCAACUCCGGUGCACUUCUGUCUGACCUACAGUUGCAGUAUUUGGCAUGGCAGGGGCGUGAUCCCUGCCCCCACACAACCAGUGAGUCAUGGCCCCUUUGGUCCAGUUUGUGGAUUGGUCACUUCCUGUCCUUCAUGCUUCUCUAGGACUGCAGCCCUGCCCCAGAGCCCAGUUGCUGGGUCCUGACCUUAACCCAAUCAGAUCAGAAGCAUCCCCAUACGUGUCCAGCAGACCAGGGAGGCUGGUGGUGGCGAGGAGUGAGGAGUGGUGGGGACCUCUGCUCUGGCCGCCUGGCCUCCUCCUGGCCAGGAAAACAGGCCACUCACGGCUGCCGCUCCCCUGCUUGCUAGCCUCAAAGAGAUCGUUAGAGCAACUCUGCUGCCCACAACAAGGGCCGCUGGUGGAAACAACAAACAGCCAAGGGAGGUGGAUCGUGGACAUCACAGAAACAGAAUUCUCUGUUCUGAUCCCCCAGGAGCACCAGCCCCCCUCCUCCUGACAAGUGUUCCCCUGUCAGCCAGCCUCUGAGCCUGCUCCUUCCUAUGACAGAUUUCAUGCCAUGCGUGGAUCAUUCCAAUGUGUUAGGAAGUUAGUCCUUAUAAUGAGACUAAACCUGCUUUCCUUUAAUAUUUUCAUCUAUUCAUAUAUUUAUUGGAUAUUUGUA